rnacentral:lncRNA from 1 species
UUUUUUUUUUUUUUUUUUUUUUCCUAGUGUGAAUCUAAAAAAUCGUUUGGUGUACCCUUAAGAUAUUUCUUCAUGGAAAGUAAGAUUCCUCACACCUAGGUCUAGUCAUCUGAAACACAGGUCUCUAGUCUGAGAGAAUACUUGAGUGUUGUAUUAUGGACUGCAAGAAAGAAGUCUUAAUUAGCAAGGCUGGUAUGAAAAUGUCUGGAGCAGUUCUCCAGACAUACUCAUCUUCCUGCAUUGACUCCAGAGGGAGCUUAUGUGAUUUGUUCAGACCACAUGUACAGCCUCCACAUGGCUGACAUCAGGGCAGCCCCAGCUUGCAAGGUGGUAUCCCAGACACAGAAUGACAGGGCAGAAUCAUCUUGAACCAUUCCUCCCACACUAACCUGCUCUCAUUGUACUCCUUUUGAGAGACAUGUCCCUCCUGCAUGUUUUAGGAAUCAAGGUGUAUUUCAGUGAGGAGGACAGAAGCGCUCUCCCUCCUUUGUUCAAUCAAAAUGCCAUAAAGUUCCAGAACUUACUUCCCACAGUUAGCUUUUAAGGAACAAGCUGCAGAAGGAGAAAUGAUCAUCAGACAGUUCUGCAGGAGACACCAGUUUGGAAUUAAAUAGAAGAGGUUGAAAUUGUAUGAGGAGAAUUUUCCUUUUGAAUUAAAUAGCUAUUUGUAAACUCACGUGCCACUUUUGCAGUCUACACUGUUGUGACAGCCGUGUCCAAGUGAAAUAAAAGUUAUAAAAAUCUCUUUAUUCUUAUUCUGUUAAUGACUUUUAAGGAAAAAAAUUAAGACAGUCUACAGAAUAGUGUUGUGCAAAGACUGUGCUUGCUAUAGGUUCUCAGCGUCAUCCAAAUAACUUCAUGAAAUACCACACAAAAGCCAAUGAAAAUAAAGUUUGGAGCAUUCAAACACUCCUAAAUUUAGAUGUCUGUUAUUUUAAUCUCUUCUAGUUAUCCUAUCCUUAUUUUAAUCCUCCACCCAUAUCAGUUCUAUUUUCAUCUAAGCUAACCAUGUAUCUAUUCUUAUAACUCUACUAUUCUCCCCAAUAAAAUUGCUGUUUUUCUACUAGACAAUCUGUUGAAUAUUGAUAUAACAUAAGAGCUCGCAAGUGAUUAAAAUACAUUAUAAUGGCUUAUGGUUUUCUAUAAUUUCAAAUGUUUAAAAGUGCUAGCCAGAUUUACACAUUAAGCAAUGUGAAACAUUUAAAAUUAUUUCAGGUAUCCCAGAUUCAAGUCAAUUAAACUAGUUGAGAACUACAUAUUAUUAGCUCUCACUCAUGUGAAGGAGUAUAUUUAUUCCACUAUUUAAGUUGCAUGAGUUCAUUAAAAGGUGCAGAACCAAAGCAAAGAAGAAAUUCUUAUCUUUUUUAACUAGCUUUGAUUUUGAGUGGUUAUUUUAACAUGUCUUUUUUCUUUCACUGCAUGUUUAGAGACACCUCUCCUAUGAUGAUAAAAGACAAACAUCAGGAUUUCUUUGCUUUAUGCUGAGGUACCUAUUUCAACAUCACAUUAGUGGGAUAAUUUGCAGUAGACAUGUUGACUAAUAUACAGGUUUAUGCCUGCUAGACGUGACAAACUGCAGGUGAGAAAAAUGGGCCAUGUCUUAAAAGAACAUAAGAUUGUUUUGCCAUCCUUUUAUGUAUUUUGUCUACAAGUCCUAGAAUAAAGAAUUAAAAAACACCUAUUAUAUCUGUGCAAUGAUUGUCAUAUAACUAGUACACUGAUUAUAGUUGGUUACUGAAUUAUUCAUCCAAGUCAGUUGCUGGGUUUGAAAAGGGGCAGUGUAGGAGGGGCUGAAGAAAAAGAAGAUCAUGAGGGAUUUUCUCAUGUGCAUAGUGUAAGCCUUCCUUGCAGCAUUUCCAACUCUUCUCUGAAAAUGUACAGAUACUCUCCUGUUGGUCAGGCUGCUAGAGGAAGACCUUUAAGCUAAAGCUGUACUCCUGUAGUAUAAUAUGUAACCCAAGACUGUGCAGCUUACCUUUCUGUUUGCAGCUAUGUGUUCUAGCAAAGUAAAACCUAGGUUUCCAAAAGUAUCUAAAAUCCCACACACUUAUUCAAAGAAUUUCUUGGAAUGUUGCAGAAGAGAUAAAGGUGAUGUAAACUACCUAUGUCUGAUCUGAGGAACCUUUUAAAGAAAACUGCUUUGUUUUACCUACUUGGCACUGCUCUAAAGAAAGCUGAUGCAACAGUCAAUGAACAGACCCUAAGAAACUAAAUCACAUUCAAAUUUUUUCUUUAAAUUUUUAGUAACCAAUUCUCCUUUUUUUCAGUAUUUAUAUAAUUCUAAUAAAAUUUUGUAAUUUGAUAUUAUUAGCAGGGAAACCUAUACCUUCAUACCUACUAGAUGGAGGAAAACCUGGUGCAUUGCAGUUUCUGUUUCACUUUCCUUACCAGAAGGAGAACCUGAUGAGCAACUUCCAUUUCUCCCAUUCCUUCUGCAAUAAAAAGCAAUACUGACAUCAGAAAGUCCUGUCCUAAUUGCUCAUGACUGUCCAUGACUGCAGGACAUCAUGAUGUGCAGAAUCCUAACACAUUCAUUAAGACAGAACCCUAACACAUUCACCCACAUUCAUGGGUAACUUCUAAUAUUGGCAAUGGAGACAAUUUCCCUGAAAAUAGAAAUAUUAGUAACAAUCCCUCACAGACACAUGAAGGAUAUACAUGGUACAGCAUAAUGAAAGAAGAAUUUGACAGAAUCCUAUACUAUGGUAUGAGGUUUUGUUGAGCUGUUCAAAAAUUCUUUUCAGAACAAGAACAUCUGAAAUUCCUUUCAGAUGUCUGUAUUUUCAUGGAAGCAGUUUAAUUUUCAAGCAAAAAAAAAAAUUCUGGAAACUGAAACAAAAUAAUUUUAUUUAGGUUAAUUCAUCUAGUUAAUAUAAUAUUAAAAUGCUUCUCUUAGUUAAAAAUGGCAAAAUGAAUUGGUUUAGUAUUUCUGAAUCAAAAUGUUUUAUAAUUUCUGUCAAGCACAGUGUGCUUUGACCUUUUGUUCCAAUUUGGAAAGUAAACAGGUACUGAAAUGAAUAAAUGUGACAGAAACUCCAUUUCCAUUCAGCUGCAUUUAUCGGCAUUGCAGCACAGUUAAAUUCUGGAGGGUCUUCUGUAGCAUCCCAGAAAAUGAACCAGAAGUAAAUUUGGCAGCAAUUUGUAGUUUUAGCUAUUGCUGUCUAUUUAAUCACUAAUGAAAAUGGCCUUUACAUGUAUCAGAACCAAUAACAUACACAAAAUUCAUGGCUACAUAUUGACAUACAUUUCAGCUGAACUGU